rnacentral:rRNA from 1 species
GCAGGGCGGCAGCCUAUACAUGCAGUCGAGCGGACCGACGGGAGCUUGCUCCCUUAGGUCAGCGGCGGACGGGUGAGUAACACGUGGGUAACCUGCCUGUAAGACUGGGAUAACUCCGGGAAACCGGGGCUAAUACCGGAUGCUUGAUUGAACCGCAUGGUUCAAUUAUAAAAGGGGGCUUUUAACUACCACUUUCAGAUGGACCCGCGGCGCAAUAACUAGUUGGGGAGGGAACGGCUCCCCCAGGGGACCAUGCGUAACCCAACUGAAAGGGUGAUCGGCCCCCCUGGGACUGAAACACGGCCCAAACUCCUACGGGAGGGAGCAGUAGGGAAUCUUCCGCAAUGGACGAAAGUCUGACGGAACAACCCCCCGUGGGUGAUGAAGGUUUUCGGAUCCUAAAACUCUGUUGUUAGGGAAAAACAAGUACCGUUCGAAUAAGGGGGUACCUUGACGGGACCUAACCAGAAAGCCACGGCUAACUACCUGCCAACAGCCGCGGUAAUACCUAAGUGGCAAGCGUUGUCCGGAAUUAUUGGGCGUAAAGCGCGCGCAAGCGGUUUCUUAAGUCUGAAGUGAAAGCCCCCGGCUCCACCGGGGAAGGUCAUUGGAAACUGGGGAACUUGAGUGCAGAAGAAGAAAGUGGAAUUCCACGUGUAACGGUGAAAUGCCUAAAGAUGUGGGAAGAACACCAGUGGCGGAAGCGAAUCUCUGGUCUGUUACUGACGCUGAAGGCGCCAAAGCGUUGGGGAGCGAACCAGAUUAGAUACCCUGGGUAGUCCACGCCGUAAAACGAUGAAGUGCUAAGUGUUUAGAAGGUUUCCGCCCUUUAGUGCUGCAGCAAACGCAUUAAGCACUCCGCCUGGGGAGUACCGGUCCGCAGACUGAAACUCAAAGAAAUUGACCGGGGCCCGCACAGCGUGGAGCAUGUGUUAAUUCGAAGCAACGCCGAGACUUACCAGUCUUGACAUCUCUGACAACCUAAGAUAGGCUCCCCUUCGGGGCAGAUGACAGUGGUGCAUGGCUGUCGUCAGCCUCUGUCCUGAAAUGUGGUUUAGUUCCCGCACGAGCGCCAACCCUGAACU